AUUGAACGCUGGCGGCAUGCCUUACACAUGCAAGUCGAACGGCAGCACGGGGGCAACCCUGGUGGCGAGUGGCGAACGGGUGAGUAAUACAUCGGAACGUGCCCUGUAGUGGGGGAUAGCUCGGCGAAAGCCGGAUUAAUACCGCAUACGACCUACGGGUGAAAGCGGGGGAUCGCAAGACCUCGCGCUACAGGAGCGGCCGAUGUCAGAUUAGGUUGUUGGUGGGGUAAAGCCACCAAGCCGACGAUCUGUAGCUGGUCUGAGAGGACGACCAGCCACACUGGGACUGAGACACGGCCCAGACUCCUACGGGAGGCAGCAGUGGGGAAUUUUGGACAAUGGGCGCAAGCCUGAUCCAGCCAUG
rnacentral:rRNA from 1 species